CAGCACAGUAAGAGCUUGCUCUUAUGGGUGGCGAGUGGCGGACGGGUGAGGAAUACAUCGGAAUCUACCUUUUCGUGGGGGAUAACGUAGGGAAACUUACGCUAAUACCGCAUACGACCUUCGGGUGAAAGCAGGGGACCUUCGGGCCUUGCGCGGAUAGAUGAGCCGAUGUCGGAUUAGCUAGUUGGCGGGGUAAAGGCCCACCAAGGCGACGAUCCGUAGCUGGUCUGAGAGGAUGAUCAGCCACACUGGAACUGAGACACGGUCCAGACUCCUACGGGAGGCAGCAGUGGGGAAUAUUGGACAAUGGGCGCAAGCCUGAUCCAGCCAUACCGCGUGGGUGAAGAAGGCCUUCGGGUUGUAAAGCCCUUUUGUUGGGAAAGAAAAGCAGUCGAUUAAUACUCGGUUGUUCUGACGGUACCCAAAGAAUAAGCACCGGCUAACUUCGUGCCAGCAGCCGCGGUAAUACGAAGGGUGCAAGCGUUACUCGGAAUUACUGGGCGUAAAGCGUGCGUAGGUGGUUGUUUAAGUCUGUUGUGAAAGCCCUGGGCUCAACCUGGGAAUUGCAGUGGAUACUGGGCAACUAGAGUGUGGUAGAGGGUAGUGGAAUUCCCGGUGUAGCAGUGAAAUGCGUAGAGAUCGGGAGGAACAUCCAUGGCGAAGGCAGCUACCUGGACCAACACUGACACUGAGGCACGAAAGCGUGGGGAGCAAACAGGAU
rnacentral:rRNA from 1 species